UCGAACCCGAGACCUACCGCUCAUGGGCGAAGGCACUUACCCCCAUUUAGUAAAUUUUUCAUGAUUUUGUAAAAAUAAAUUCGUUUAAAUUUCUGAGCUUUGGAGGGUAUUUCAUUUAACUCAUGGGUUUUUUGACGUUUUUAUCUGAGAUUUUUUUUUUCCUAGAUUCUGUAGCAUACUAAGAUUAAAUUUGUGAGUUUCGUAGUGGUAUUUUUUCUGUGCAUUUUUGGUGAACUUGGUUGUGGGUUUUGAUGUUUGUCUGCAGCAGGGAAAGGGACGAAAUCAUUCCACGCCCCUCCAACAGUUCCUGAUUCUGAUUGUGCACUGCCAACUCGCGAACCAAGUGCUAUUUCAGCACCUGCAGGAGAUGAACGAAGCGAGAUGUUUUAUUGGUGUUAAUUAUCCUGGACAAACACCGUGAUGUCUUUGCUAAUGAGUAGUCUACAAGGUCCUUUGGUCCGAAAGAGUUUCAGCAGCUAGGCAGUUACCACAGUCGUUGAGUACUUCCAUGUGCUUCCUUAUGCUGGGAUUUUGUUAGACUCGUAUCCCAGUUCAACGUUGUCGUACAAAACGAAUGAGACAUCAUUAACGGAGCUAUGGAUUUGGGUGUCUUUAGUGAAACAAAACUGGAUUGUUUUAACUUUUGUAUAGUUGUAAGCAUAAAAGAAUCUCUGGGAUAGAGCCAUAGCUUUUGAAAAACAGUCCUUAAGGAUGGCAUACCAACAUUCCCAAUUUUUUUCAUGUAAUAUAUGAAUGUAAAUAGCACUUCCUUAACACAUGAAUGUAAUAUAUGUACAUAAAUACCACUCUGUGGCACAUA